AACAAGGAUUCCCCUAGUAACGGCGAGUGAACCGGGAAGAGCUCAAAUUUGUAAUCUGGCCUUUGGUCCGAGUUGUAAUCUAUAGAGGCGUUUUCCGCGCUGGAUCGUGUCCAAGUCUCUUGGAACAGAGUAUCAAAGAGGGUGAUAAUCCCGUACUUAACACGACCACCAGUGCUAUGUGAUACGUCUUCUACGAGUCGAGUUGUUUGGGAAUGCAGCUCAAAAUGGGUGGUAAAUUCCAUCUAAAGCUAAAUAUUGGCGAGAGACCGAUAGCGAACAAGUACCGUGAGGGAAAGAUGAAAAGCACUUUGGAAAGAGAGUUAAACAGUACGUGAAAUUGUUGAAAGGGAAACGAUUGAAGUCAGUCGUGUUCAUUGGACUCAGCCGGUUCUGCCGGUCUACUUCCUUUGAACGGGUCAACAUCAGUUUCGUCUGGUGGAUAAGGGCAGGAGGAAUGUGGCACCCUCGGGUGUGUUAUAGCCUCUUGUCGCAUACACUGGGUGAGACUGAG
rnacentral:rRNA from 2 species